GAUGAACGCUGGCGGCGUGCCUAAUACAUGCAAGUCGAGCGAACGGACGCGAAGCUUGCUUUUCUGAUGUUAGCGGCGGACGGGUGAGUAACACGUGGAUAACCUACCUAUAAGACUGGGAUCACUUCGGGACACCGGAGCUAAUACCGGAUAAUAUUUUGAACCGCAUGGUUCAAAAGUGAAAGACGGUCUUGCUGUCACUUAUAGAUGGAUCCGCGCUGCAUUAGCUAGUUGGUAAGGUAACGGCUUACCAAGGCAACGAUGCAUAGCCGACCUGAGAGGGUGAGCGGCCACACUGGAACUGAGACACGGUCCAGACGCCUACGGGAGGCAGCAGUAGGGAAUCCUCCGCAAUGGGCGAAAGCCUGACGGAGCAACGCCGCGUGAGUGAUGAAGGUCUUCGGAUCGUAAAACUCUGUUAUUAGGGAAGAACAUAUGUGUAAGUAACUGUGCACAUCUUGACGGUACCUAAUCAGAAAGCCACGGCUAACUACGUG
rnacentral:rRNA from 1 species